rnacentral:rRNA from 2 species
GUUGAGACGCCGCGUGAGUGAUGAAGGGUUUCGGCUCGUAAAACUCUGUUGUUAAAGAAGAACAAGUGUUAGAGUAACUGUUAACACUUUGACGGUAUUUAACCAGAAAGCCACGGCUAACUACGUGCCAGCAGCCGCGGUAAUACGUAGGUGGCAAGCGUUGUCCGGAUUUAUUGGGCGUAAAGCGAGCGCAGGCGGUUUUGUAAGUCUGCUGUGAAAGCCCUCAGCUCAACUGAGGAAGUGCAGUGGAAACUACAAAACUUGAGUACAGAAGAGGAAAGUGGAACUCCAUGUGUAGCGGUGAAAUGCGUAGAUAUAUGGAAGAACACCAGUGGCGAAGGCGGCUUUCUGGUCUGUUACUGACGCUGAGGCUCGAAAGCAUGGGUAGCGAACAGGAUUAGAUACCCUGGUAGUCCAUGCCGUAAACGAUGAAUACUAGGUGUUGGAGGGUUUCCGCCCUUCAGUGCCGCAGCUAACGCAUUAAGUAUUCCGCCUGGGGAGUACGACCGCAAGGUUGAAACUCAAAGGAAUUGACGGGGGCCCGCACAAGUGGUGGAGCAUGUGGUUUAAUUCGAUGCUACGCGAAGAACCUUACCAGCUCUUGACAUCUUCUGCCAACCCAAGAGAUUGAGCGUUCCCUUCGGGGACAGAAUGACAGGUGGUGCAUGGUUGUCGUCAGCUCGUGUCGUGAGAUGUUGGGUUAAGUCCCGCAACGAGCGCAACCCUUAUUAUUAGUUGCCAGCAUUUAGUUGGGCACUCUAGUGAGACUGCCGGUGAUAACCGGAG